UACGAAGGGGGCUAGCGUUGUUCGGAUUUACUGGGCGUAAAGCGCACGUAGGCGGAUUGUUAAGUCAGGGGUGAAAUCCUGGAGCUCAACUCCAGAACUGCCUUUGAUACUGGCAAUCUUGAGUCCGGAAGAGGUGAGUGGAACUCCUAGUGUAGAGGUGGAAUUCGUAGAUAUUAGGAAGAACACCAGUGGCGAAGGCGGCUCACUGGUCCGGUACUGACGCUGAGGUGCGAAAGCGUGGGGAGCAAACAGG
rnacentral:rRNA from 2 species